AGAGUUUGAUCCUGGCUCAGGAUGAACGCUGACAGAAUGCUUAACACAUGCAAGUCUACUUGAUCCUUCGGGUGAUGGUGGCGGACGGGUGAGUAACGCGUAAAGAACUUGCCUUGCAGUCUGGGACAACGUCUGGAAACGGACGCUAAUACCGGAUAUUAUGAUUGAAUCGCAUGAUUUGAUUAUGAAAGCUAUAUGCGCUGCGAGAGAGCUUUGCGUCCCAUUAGUUAGUUGGUGAGGUAACGGCUCACCAAGACGAUGAUGGGUAGCCGGCCUGAGAGGGUGAACGGCCACAAGGGGACUGAGACACGGCCCUUACUCCUACGGGAGGCAGCAGUGGGGAAUAUUGGACAAUGGACCAAAAGUCUGAUCCAGCAAUUCUGUGUGCACGAUGAAGUUUUUCGGAAUGUAAAGUGCUUUCAGUUGGGAAGAAGAAAGUGACGGUACCAACAGAAGAAGCGACGGCUAAAUACGUGCCAGCAGCCGCGGUAAUACGUAUGUCGCAAGCGUUAUCCGGAUUUAUUGGGCGUAAAGCGCGUCUAGGCGGUUUGGUAAGUCUGAUGUGAAAAUGCGGGGCUCAACUCCGUAUUGCGUUGGAAACUGCCAAACUAGAGUACUGGAGAGGUAGGCGGAACUACAAGUGUAGAGGUGAAAUUCGUAGAUAUUUGUAGGAAUGCCGAUGGGGAAGCCAGCCUACUGGACAGAUACUGACGCUAAAGCGCGAAAGCGUGGGUAGCAAACAGGAUUAGAUACCCUGGUAGUCCACGCCGUAAACGAUGAUUACUAGGU
rnacentral:rRNA from 1 species